CGUCUCGGCGCGCGCGGGGGGGCUCGGGAGCGAGCGAGCGUGCGUGCGCCUCGGGGACUGGGCGGGGCGGGCACGCGCCAGCAGGCAGGGCCGUGCCGGGAUGGGCUCGCGGCUGUUGCGAGGUUCACGCCCGCCCAGCGUGCGCGUGCACGUGCACGUGGAGACCUGGGCGAAGAGGCGGGGCUCUCGAACGAGAGCGCCAGACGGGGGCGGAGUUGCGGUUUUGACGUACCCCGAGGGGCGGGGAUGGAGAGCUGGCACCGGGGAGCUUGGUAAGUAGGAGGAUGCUUGUGGAUUUACAGCGGAGAUCUAACUGGGUAGUGAGGAGGCUCCCACCGAGUUAUUGUUAUUCCUAUCCCUUUUUUUGAACUUCCAUUUGGUCUCAGGUUGCAACGCUGUAAGGCAGUUAGCCCAAAUACUAUUUUUAAAAAUAGGAGAUUUGUGAAGACUGCUCAAUGCUUUAAUAUAUUUUUCUUUUUUAAAGGAUUUUAAAUAUUUUUGUAAAAAAAUGCACGGUUGAACACAAGUCGGAGCACUUGGGAAGCGCAAGUAGGGAUACGAAAACUAUCCUUAACGUUACGCCCGUAUCUGAUCCUAAUUUUAGCUGAAUCUUUGAUUUUAGCUUGGGGUGCAGGGUGGAUGGGGAUGGGGUGCGGAGCACACUGACUGAAGUACUCAGUCUCCACCGUGAUCUCACUGGCAGGAAGGACUGUCUAUUUCACUCUCCAAGGGCUGGACACAGAGCACACAUUUGAUGGUCCCAUCUCAAAGGCUGGGCAAGUUGGGCAUGGUAGGUCCGCUCUUACCUCCAUCUCCUUUAUAUAAAGCGGAGAUGCGUCAUAAACUCAGAAAAUUCACCAAAAUUUAUCUAUAUUCACUUCAAGAGAGAAAUCUUUUUAUUCACUUUAUUGCUCCUUUCUUCUUCCAACAAGAUCAAGCUGCAGCUUCCACAACCCAAAGAUGGAGUGCCAAAACCUGUCCCCCAACCCUGUGGAAGGGGGGCUUUGUGAGCUUCAGAGGUGACCGUGGCGUGGAGCUUGAAAAGAACAUGUUGGUUUAUGGAAUACAAAAUUUCGAGGAGUAA
rnacentral:lncRNA from 1 species